rnacentral:rRNA from 1 species
GAUGAACGCUGGCGGCGUGCCUAAUACAUGCAAGUCGAGCGAACAGACGAGGAGCUUGCUCCUCUGAUGUUAGCGGCGGACGGGUGAGUAACACGUGGAUAACCUACCUAUAAGACUGGAUAACUUCGGGAAACCGGAGCUAAUACCGGAUAACAUGUUGAACCGCAUGGUUCAACAGUGAAAGACGGUCUUGCUGUCACUUAUAGAUGGAUCCGCGCCGCAUUAGCUAGUUGGUAAGGUAACGGCUUACCAAGGCAACGAUGCGUAGCCGACCUGAGAGGGUGAUCGGCCACACUGGAACUGAGACACGGUCCAGACUCCUACGGGAGGCAGCAGUAGGGAAUCUUCCGCAAUGGGCGAAAGCCUGACGGAGCAACGCCGCGUGAGUGAAGAAGGUCUUCGGAUCGUAAAACUCUGUUAUUAGGGAAGAACAAAUGUGUAAGUAACUAUGCACGUCUUGACGGUACCUAAUCAGAAAGCCACGGCUAACUACGUG